rnacentral:rRNA from 1 species
GGCCAGGGACUAAAUAACCUAAAGGCAUCAGAUCCCAUCUGAUCUUGGAAGUUAAGUAAGGUCAGCCUUAGUUACUACUUGCAUGGUGGACCACCAAGGAAUACCAGCUGCUGUAGUAU